rnacentral:rRNA from 1 species
GACGAACGCUGGCGGCGUGCUUAACACAUGCAAGUCGAACGGAAAGGCCCUGCUUUUGUGGGGUGCUCGAGUGGCGAACGGGUGCGUAACACGUGAGUAACCUGCCCUUGACUUUGGGAUAACUUCAGGAAACUGGGGCUAAUACCGGAUAGGAUCUCCUGCUGCAUGGUGGGGGUUGGAAAGUUUCGGCGGUUGGGGUUGGACUCGCGGCUUAUCAGCUUGUUGGUGGGGUAGUGGCUUACCAAGGCUUUGACGGGUAGCCGGCCCGAGAGGGUGACCGGCGACAUUAGGACUGAGAUACGGACCAGACGCGUAUGGGAGGCAACGGUGGGGAGUAUUACACAGUGGGAGGGAGUCUGAUGCGGCAACGCUGGGGUCGGGAUGACGGCCUUCGGGGUGUGAACCGCAGUCGCCUGUGACGCAGCGUUAGUGACGGUAAUGGGUAAAGAAGCACCGGCUAACUUCGUG